rnacentral:piRNA from 1 species
UUGGAAUGCAGGAUCUGCCACACCAA